GCCUGGGUGGCUCAGCAGUUGAGCGUCUGAUUUUGGCUCAGGCUGUGAUCCUGGAGUGCAGGAUCAAGUCCUACAUCAGGCU
rnacentral:tRNA from 1 species